AGGUGGUAAAUCCUGGCCAAGGCUCCUCGAGCCAGGCCGGCUGGCAGUGCUGCAUCGUGCUGAAGGCGCUGAGGUUGCAGCGGAUGCAUUCCGGGCCAGUGAUAUGAUGUGGACAGGAAAAGUCUUUUGUUCUGGGAAAAUGGAGGACUGAAACCUCUUCAUGUCUUUUUCCCAGGCCCUGAUUUAGGAAGACCAAAACAGGGACUUCUACAGUAGCAGCUUAAUCAGCAGAUGCUGGGUGGUCGCCUCUGCACAUGGCCUGGGGGGCGGGGCGCCUUACCGCGUCACACUGGGUGGAUGGGCCUGUGUGUGGCCUCUCUCCAGCUGUGGCUGACAGUACUCACUCAGCCCAGGCUUCCAGGCCCUCCUGGGCCCUCCUAUCCACUGAAGGAAAUGGGAGAUGAGUGGGUAAUGGAAAAGCCUUUGGAGUCAGAUGUAAAUCCAUGACUUGACCACUUAUUGCUGUGAGACCCUGGACAGCUGGAUAUAGAGUUCUUGUUCUAGCAUCCGCCCUGGGAAUCCCCGGAACUGGGCCUCUUACCGACACCAUUGCCUGUAAUCCACAAACCUAGGAGUUACUCCAGUUACUGUCCUACUGAAGGACCCCCAUCCCAUCUGGGCUACUAUAACCACAUGGACCAUCCCUUGCUUCAAUCAUAGAAUUCUUUCUUCAGAUCAAAGUAUAUUCAGACACUCGAUACAGUAACAAAAGCAAGCUAUCCUGGAAGGAAGAAGGAAUCAGGAGGCAGAGCACAUGGUUAAAGCAUGAGAUGUGAAACCAGGAAGAACCAGGUCUGAACCUUAGCUCCACCAGUGGUAGCUUCAAACCUUGGUCCUUUCUGAGCCUGCUUCUUCAACCGUAAGGUGUGACUACACUGAGCAGUAACAGCAAAACCUGAAAGAGAAUGGAUACAGGUGUUCAUUUCAGAUGGUACAAGUUUAACAAAGUACAAGAGCAACUUAAGGUUUGACACAAAAACUCUAAGCAUAUAUUUAAAUCCUAGUAUUUCAUCCAGAAAACACCACAGCAUAACUGAGAGCACUGGAGGCAGAAAUAAUUCAGUUUAGAUCCAUGGAUUGCUUGCUAUUUACUGUGUGACUCUGGGUAGCCACUUACUUUAAAUCUAUUUUUCCCACUUAUAGAAAGGUAAUGAUGACCACUUGUUGGAAAACUUGAGGGUAAUACUUGUAAAGGUCAUAGUAAGACCCAACAACUUGGGCCCAACACCUGGUAGGCACAAAGUCUGUUCUGCUUCCUUUCCCUUUCUGUAGAGAAAUGCACAGGAUAUUCCUUAUAUGCCACUUAUGUUAUGGGAUUGACAUAGGUUUUGUCCCUCAUGCUAUGGGAUUGAUUAGGUUUU
rnacentral:lncRNA from 1 species